UGCGAACGGCUCAUUAAAUCAGUUAUCGUUUAUUUGAUAGUACCUUUACCUACUUGGAUAACCGUGGUAAUUCUAGAGCUAAUACAUGCUAAAAGUCCCGACCUCUGGAAGGGACGUAUUUAUUAGAUAAAAAACCAAUGCCCUUCUGGGCUUCUUGGUGAUUCAUGAUAACUUUACGAAUCGCAUGGCCUUGUGCCGGCGAUGGUUCAUUCAAAUUUCUGCCCUAUCAACUUUCGAUGGUAGGAUAGUGGCCUACCAUGGUUUCAACGGGUAACGGGGAAUUAGGGUUCGAUUCCGGAGAGGGAGCCUGAGAAACGGCUACCACAUCCAAGGAAGGCAGCAGGCGCGCAAAUUACCCAAUCCCGACACGGGGAGGUAGUGACAAGAAAUACUGAUACAGGGCCCAUCUGGGUCUUGUAAUUGGAAUGAGUACAAUUUAAAGCCUUUAACGAGGAACAAUUGGAGGGCAAGUCUGGUGCCAGCAGCCGCGGUAAUUCCAGCUCCAAUAGCGUAUAUUAAAGUUGUUGCAGUUAAAAAGCUCGUAGUUGAACUUUGGGUCUGGGUGACCGGUCCCCCGACUGGGUGUGCACUGGAAACCCGGAUCUUUCCUUCUGGAGAACCUCAUGCCCUUCACUGGGUGUGUUGGGGAACUAGGACUUUUACUUUGAAAAAAUUAGAGUGUUCAAAGCAGGCUUUUGCUCGAAUACAUUAGCAUGGAAUAAUAAAAUAGGACGUGCGGUUCUAUUUUGUUGGUUUCUAGGACCGCCGUAAUGAUUAAUAGGGAUAGUCGGGGGCAUCCGUAUUCGAUUGUCAGAGGUGAAAUUCUUGGAUUUUUCGAAGACGAACUACUGCGAAAGCAUUUGCCAAGGAUGUUUUCAUUAAUCAGGAACGAAAGUUGAGGGAUCGAAGACGAUCAGAUACCGUCGUAGUCUCAACCAUAAACUAUGCCGACUAGGAAUCGGGCGAUGUUUUCAAUUUGACUCGCUCGGCACCUUACGAGAAAUCAAAGUUUUUGGGUUCUGGGGGGAGUAUGGUCGCAAGGCUGAAACUUAAAGGAAUUGACGGAAGGGCACCACCAGGAGUGGAGCCUGCGGCUUAAUUUGACUCAACACGGGGAAACUCACCAGGUCCAGACACAUUAAGGAUUGACAGAUUGAGAGCUCUUUCUUGAUUAUGUGGGUGGUGGUGCAUGGCCGUUCUUAGUUGGUGGAGUGAUUUGUCUGCUUAAUUGCGAUAACGAACGAGACCUUAACCUGCUAAAUAGCUGGGCUCGCUUUUGCGAGAUUCUGGCU
rnacentral:rRNA from 1 species